ensembl:lncRNA
AUAGAUAGACUAGUAGAAUUUAGAUUAUAAAUGUGUGAAUGCAGAUUAUCCUGCUAUUGCACAAGAUGGAGGGCGGAAAAAAAUCUCAAUUCCAGCUGGCAGAAUGCUGGCCAGGACACACAGAAGGAAGCUGCACUAGAUUGAAUAAGUCACAGAAUCAGAGGACAUGGAAGAAGGAGGAAACUCUGGUGUCUCUGCAGCUGACAUGGGCUAGAUCCUAUCCUACAUGGUUUCUCUGAGCUCGUUUCUCAAAGAAAAUGGGGGCAUCUGUCCCUGGUGGAGCUCACCUAUCCAUUUUGAAUAUGGGGCAUUUGUUUUCCCCACUGCAAUGAUUUCAGUCUGGUUUCAUCAUGUUGGAAUUCGAUCACACCAUUUUCAAACAAUGUUAACAUAGUCCAGCUUUUGUUUUUCUCAUCUCUUCCGAGAGGAGAUUCACUGUUUCUGUCUGAGGAAGCUCAUACCCUUGGCAAAACAGCAGGACAAAUAAAGAGAAAUGGGGGUAUACAUUCCCAACAGAAGCAGUGUGUUGUUUUAAAACUCUGAACAGAGAUCUUGGAAAUCCUUCAAAAAGACCAUUGAAUUCUUCAUUGGCCGAGAACUACAUUUUAAAAAGUCUUAAAUAGGGCUUUGUUUGCAUUGUUUGAGUUCAAGGGGCCUUAUUAUUGAAUGGAAUUGCACAAGCCUUUCUUUGUGCAAUCAAACCAUUGUUAUUGGUAGUUCUGUAAAGGAAACUGUGGAAUCUAAUUGGCAGUGGAGUUAUAAAUCUAUUUACGAAGUGUGGCUUCCAAGAAAUGUUGCAAUUCAAAAUGCACUAAGUCCGUGAUUUACUGGAGAUUUGGAGAUUCUAAAUAAUAUUUCUGAAAAACUUCUGGCUUAACUUUUGGCAACUCAACAUUAAAGGAAAAAAAAAAACCCCACAAAACCCAGCCCAACCAAGUUUCAGAAAUAAGUAUUCUAGUAAGUGAUUGGAACUUGUAAUCUUUGCCACAGGACUGACUUAUUUAUUUACUAGCUAGAAGCUCUUAAGUUCACUUGUUUAUCAGGGCAUAUACAGAAGGGUUUGUUAAAACUCAGCAUUGACUUUACAACUUUCUGACCUGGUGCAUGUAUUCUCAAGUACUGUAUUUCACUGUGUUGGUGUGUCUGAUGGAAAUUUCGAGGUGAUCCCACAAAAAUAUUUUAUGUAGUGUGCCUUCAAAGAGAACCAUUUAUUUCUCUUCACUUGUUGUCCCACAAGUCACAUAUGGUCGUGGUCAGCCAAGCCCCCAUCUGGUCUAGUUUUACUCUUGUCCCAAUUUUAAAGAAAAAUGGGAACAAGUCUGCCCUGGUGAGACCCACACCAUUGCAAUGAGUAUCUUGAGCACUUAAAUUCCAGUGUUGGCUGUUGAUGUAUUUGAUAUUCUGCUUGUCUCCUCAUGGUUGAAAUAUGUCUGAAGAAUAGCAGCAUAAUCUCUUGGCUGUUUAUACUUUUUUAAACCUUCCUGUGUUGUAAAUAUUGUAUACUUUUGGUGACUCCAGCUCUGUAACCUCUAUGCUCUUCUGUAAGGUGAUUAUUUGUAUAUAGCAACAUGGCCCAGUGAUACUAUAUAGUUUCCCGAUGGAGAGGUUAUUGAGUAACCUUUGCAUUAGUUUAAACACUACCAGAAGAAUGCUGAGCCAACUAUAAACACUCAAUUUUGUAUGUUUUCCAAAUUGUACUUAUUACUGCUUUUGAUACUGUAUUACGUGCCAAUAGUUUCCCAAUCACAUAGCAGGCAAGAGAUAUUUUGUACUUUUUGAUCCACUGUAAUAUUUAAUAAAAAAUGUUACUAUCUGUUUC